ACCUGUGCCACUGCAGUGACCAUGCCAUAUCCUUAACUCACUGAGCCCCAGGGGAACUUCUGUUUGACCUUUCUAAGGCUCAGUGUUCUUACAUAUAAAAUGAGAUAAUAAAAGCAUGAACCUGAUAGUAAAAAACAAAUAAAAUGAGAGAAGUAUGACAUCAAAAGACGCUUAAAGCUCAUUCCUAUUUAUAUCCAGACCUGUAGCUCUCGUAUAUAAAUUGUCUCCCUUUUUAUUAUGUGUCAUAUAGUGUGGUAAAUACUACAAAUAUUAUCUCAUUUCAUCCUCAUAAUAUUUGUUACAAGGAGGUACUGUUAUUCUACUUUCUAAUCCUUUUGUUUCUGUAAUAUUGAUAGUAAUAUCCCCUCUUUUCUGAUUUUACUUGUUUGAAGUCUUCUCUCUCCUUAAUCAAUCUAAACAUUUGUAAAUUAUUUAUUUAUUUAUUUUAUUUCCCCAAUACAUUAUUUUUUUUUCUACUGUACAGCAACUUGACCCAGUUACACAUACGUGUAUACAUUCUAUUUUCUCACAUCAUCAUACUCCAUCAUAAGUGACUAGACAUAGUUCCCAGUGCUACACAGCAGGAUCUCAUUGCUAAAUUUUGAAACUGAUGCCUAAUUUUUAAGAUGUUACAGAUCUGAGUCAAGAUUCAAACUAAGACUGUCAGGUUCCAAAGCUUAAUCUCAUCGGCUGUUUUGAAAAGAAGGCACCAAAUCUGGGUUCACACCAACGUUUAACCCACAGAAAAUUCAUUUUGUAAUUUUGCUAUGGCACAUCACAUUACUUGAUAUGCUAUGGCUUAAAUUUUAUUCCCUAGUAGUCACACUUAAGUACCCUCCUAUUUCUUUUCUUUUUAAAUACUUCAAGCGUGAAGUUGAGUACAGACAUAAUUAUAACUAAAAACUAUGUACUACCACCCAGCUUGGUCAGAUAUUAUAAUUUCAUCAAAUUUGCUUCAGAUCUUUUUUUUUAAAAAAAUAAAUCAUUACAGAAAUAAGCAUAUGAAUUCCUUCCUAAUUCCAAAAAUACGACUCUUCUUUUAAAUUUCCAUGCAUGUUUUUCUGCUUCUAAUACAUGUUUGCGACCAUAAACAAUAUGUAGAACUGUUUUGCCUAAUUUGAAACUUGGUUUAAAUGGUAUCUCACUGUCAGCAUCCAUCUGAGGUCUGCUUAUAUCGUUGAAUAUGUUUUAAAGAUUUUGCCACUUGGAUGGAAUUAGUGUAAAUUCUUUUAACAUUUAGAUAGUGUUUUAUCAUAUGUUUAUAUUCUGACUUAACCACUCAUAUUGAUGGACAUUAGGGUUGUUUCCAAGUUGUAAGAAUACAAAUAAUGCUGCAAUAAGUACAUAUAUAUAUAUUUUUUUGGCUGCACCAGUGACACAUGGAAGUUCCCAAGCCAGGGAUCAAAUCUGACCUUCAGCUGCAACCUACACCACAGCUGUAGCAAUGCCAGAUCCUUAAUCCACUGCACCAGGCAGGAUUGAACCCACACCUCCACAGUGACUAGACCUGCUGCAGUAGGAUCCUUAAUCCACCCUGCCACAGUGGGAACUCCUGCAAUGACUAUUGUUAUACUGCCAGGCCACAUAUUGUGAGAUUUCUCUAUUAAGCUGCAAGGCCAAGGAGUAUACUCAUCCUCAAAGUUAUGAGAUAUAACAAAAUGCUCUACAAAGUGGCAGCAGUAACUCACACUAAACCAGCAUUAGUUCAUAUCAUUCCACACAUCUGGUAUUGCCAGGCUUUAAAAUGUUUUUACUCUGUUGGAGAUAAAAUAUUUCAUAUUUUAACAUGCAUUUCCCUACCUAUGAGUGAGAUUAAACAUUCUUUUAUUUUUUAUUUUAUAUUUUUAUAUUAGUUCUUUUUCACUUCUGCUUUUUAUAUGCCUAUUUUUCUACUAAGUUGUUAAAGGAGGGAGACAAGACAUACUAAACAAAUAAGAAAGCAAAAUACCUAGGAUGUCAAAUGGUCAUAUACACUAUGGGAAGACCAGAAGCAGAGAAGGGGUGAGAAUUCAAUCUUAAAUAGAAUAAUUAGGGAAGAACUUAGCAGGAAGGCGACAUUUAGCAAAGUCCUAAAAUCAGUGCAGGCAGAAGCUAUAACGGGAAAAUUAUAACGUGAUCAGACAUGAAGUGGUACAUAGGGAUUUGUUAUGAUUAUAAGCUAUGAAAAUUUCUUUGCUUUGAACACAACUCUUUUCAGUUAUAUAUGUUGCAACUAUUUUUCCUAGUCCAAAGCUAACCUUCUUAUUUUGUUUACAGUGACACAUAAAACUUUUAAAAACUUAAUGCAAUAAAAUAUAUUAGUACUUUCCUUUAAGGUAGAUGUUUUUUGUUUGUUUUAUUCAAUAAAUCCUUUCCUAUCCCUGAGUCAUAAAGAUAUUCUCCUAUAGUUAUUUUUAAAGUUUUUAAAGAUAAGCCUUUUGCAUUUAAUGCACUUGGGACUGGUAUUAUUUAUAUGAUUUCGUGUUAGGAUUCAACAAAGUUUCUGUAUAGAUAUUAUGCAUCGUCCUUGUACCAUUUUAAUCUUAGUCUAUGCUGUCUGCAUUGAUUUGUAAUGAUAUACCUAUCAUACUUUAUGUGUAAAAUCAGCAUAGUUUAUUUUGGGGCUCUAGAUUUCAUUCCAUUUUUCUAUUUUCUAUUUCUGUGCAAAUUAAUACUCACACUGCCCUAAUUACCACAAUUAUAAUCUAACAUUUUCACAACUGGUAAGACCUAUCCAUCUAUGGCUCCUACAUCUGUCCUCCUUCCUUCCAUUCCUCCAUCUCAUCCAUCCAUCCAUCCCUUAUUAUUAUUCAUAAAUAUUUCUUUUGAGCCUAACUUUGCCAAACACUGGUUUGGCCCCUAGGGAUUUAAUAACAAAGUAAACAGAUAUCUCUACCCUCAUAGAGCUUACAUUCCAGGCAAUGGAGACAGACACUAAAAUAAACGAUAAAUAAGUAUGCCAGAUGGUGAUAAUGGCCAUGGAGACACAGGAAGCAGGGACGAGGAUCUAGCACAUGAUAACACCUGAUAUAAUACAUACACCCCAAAAUCUAAUGGGAUAAACAUGAACUUCUUUUCAAUACACACUAGACAUUUAGAGAUUGCAAUAAAAACUCAAGAUGCUCACGCUCGAAGUCUCGCAACAGUUUACAACUUUUGGUGAUUUAUUUCUAUCCCUAAGGGAUGGUAUAUGAAAAUGCAACCUGUCCUUGCCAGGCUGUGAGUACACAGGGAAGUUUAUUCUAGUCACCUGGGAGAAGAGAUCAGAGCACAUAUGCAUUCUGUCUGGUCCUUUACUUUGGCCUGACUUAAGACACUAGUCUUGGACCAGAAUGAGACUGCAGUUUGUCAGCUGGACAGCAUGGAAGCCUGGAAAAGUUUCUGGUUCUAGAGAGCUGGGAAUAAGCCCAGAGUUCAUAAACACAACUCCUUCACAAAAUACUAAUGUUUUACAAGCUGUCUGGAAGUGUUAUACACUUAAAAUUGAAUAAGCACUACUUUUGCUACCUCCCUCAACUUCUAGGGUAAAAAAGCCAAUGGAUCAUUGCUUUUAAAAGUUUAUUUAUAUGUUUUAGCCCAGUUGUCAAAUCUUUGGCAGUGAUCAUCAUUACCCUGUGUGAAGUUCAGUAUAUUUUAUUUUUAACCCACAAUGGGCUCUGUGUAACUCUAGGCAAGUUAUUUCACCCUUCUAAAUGUCAGUUUCCUCACUUCAAGGCAGGGUAACAAUACCUAAUUGCAGACUUGUCGUGACUAUUAAGUACUAUUUUGAAAGACCUUAGGACAGUGACAGUAUGGGGUAGUCAUGGAAAAAAUGGCAGUCCCUAUCAUUAGAACUGUUAUACAAAUAAUCACAGAUAUUUGCCAAAG
rnacentral:lncRNA from 1 species